rnacentral:rRNA from 1 species
UACGAGUGCCUCAAGCGUUAUCCGGAAUCAUUGGGCGUAAAGGAUGUGUAGGUGGUUGUGUUAGUCUUUUGUUAAAUUCUUCGGCUUAACCGGGGGCAUGCAAGGGAAACGGCACGACUAGAGGAUGCGAGGGGUCUGCGGAACUCAUAGUGUAGCGGUGAAAUGCGUUGAUAUUAUGGGGAACACCAAAAGCGAAGGCAGCAGACUGGAGCACUCCUGACACUGAAACAUGAAAGCGUGGGUCGCGAAUGGG